UGGGCAAUAAUGGUGUCAUUAUCUAAACACUAAGAGGGAAAGCACUACAGUUAAAACUUAAACUAUUUCCUGAAUUAUUAAUCUGUUUCCAUUUAGAUGUCAUCCUUAGAACAUUUUAUAAUUUAAAAUGAUUGUGACCAUUAUAUUAUCAUUAAAUUUUUACUGAAAGAGUUAAGACCUUUUCUAAGUGUCUGAUACACAUCCAAAAAUAGCUUUAUUCAACUUGACAAACACAAUUCAAUAUAUGUUUAAGAUAUUUUGAAAAUAAUGGAAAAAUCUUAUUAAUAGCUGUUUUCUCUUGUGGGGUGUGGUGAAUACUAAUUUAGGGCAGGUGAAAGCAAAGCAAUUUAAUAUUUCCCUUGUUAAUUCCUUUGACCUACAAGUUUGGAGGUCUCUGCAGUACUCUUGAGCUUAAUCCACAGGAUAAAGUAAUAGUUGCUAAGACUUUGCCGAAAGGAAAAGUCUUUUAUUUUGCUGUUAAGUUCUAACUGUAUCUAAUGUAUUAUUCUUGCCUCUAAGAAGAAAAAAAAAAUGUAUAUGUUUAUGUGUGUUCUUUAUGUAUAUAUGUAUAUAUAUGUAUGUAUGUAUAAUAUAUAUAACAUUAUACAUAGUAAUAUAUUGUAUUUAUUUAUUUAUUUAUUUCUACAUUAAUUAUAUUUUGGUUAAAGUUGAUAUUGCUCAAGGAAUGAUGCCCUCUAAAUUGAUCUUAGGCAAUGAAUCUGUGUCUGAUGAACUAUAAGUGUGUAUUGCCUUUAAACUGUACAGCCAACAUGUUGUCAAACCACUAUUGCAUCCAUUCCCACUGUCUUCAAUCUCUAUCAAUCUUGACUCUUCAGCUGGUCCAAGAGAACAAUUUCAUGACAGUAUUUUUUUAGGAAAUCAAAUAAAUACCUAUUAGAAAUAAUUUACUCCAUGUAAACAAGCUGAUUUCCUGUAAGGCCUCUCUGGAUCCUUUCAUGUUCUGGGUUUAUGUGUCACCGCAUACUUUCAUUACCCUGAGCCAAAACCAGAUCAAAGCAUUAUCCAGUAAAAGGUGCUCAGCACCACAAGGCAGUCAGCCUGGGGUGCUGCUUUCAUUCUACCAUUACCUAACCAUGGGAAUCAUGAUAAUCCCUGAGAUUUCCAAACUUCAUUUUCCUUGUUUGUAACAUAAAGUAGUUAGAUAUAGUUAUCUAAAGUUUCCUCCUAUCUGAAACCUCUGUGGUUGAGAAAAUUCUAAGUAGAAUUGAGAAAAGGUCAUUUGACUCCAGUGAAUCAGUUUGUGGCUUUGUCUUUUUCCUCCUUUUGGAGGUACCUGGUAAAUUCAUGCUGCCAAGGCUCCAGGACAGUGAAUUGACUGCCUGACUCCCAACAAGUCUGAGCUGGUGAUCUCUGAGCAUAUGCAAUGUCUGCUUUGUCUCAAAAUAAUGCUGACCUCCAAUAAAUGCAAGCUGAGAUGAAAGCAAUAUCCAGAUAUCUAGUCUUCCUUAUCAUCUUCUACUCCUUGAGCUCCUUCACCAGUUGAGGAAUGUUUUACAAUAUCCAGUAGUUGAGAAAACUGCCAUUUUCUUACAUUUCAAUGACAGUUUAAUCGGUAUACUCUUUAUAAAAAAGUAAACUGGUAAUAAGUAACAAGAGGCUUUCCAAUUUUUUCUCAUAAUCUUUGACCCAGAAAUUCAAAAUUUAGAACUUUGCUUUCAAGAAAUAUCAGGAGGGUCACAUAAAGAUAUAAAUAUAGUACUAUUCCUGGUGGAGUGGGAGGGGUUGGAAACAAGAGAAAUAUCCAAAUUAUGAUAUCUGUUGAGUAAAUUAUGAUGACUCCAGUAAUGGACAAUUGUAUAGCCAUUAAAAUCAUAGUUUAAAGAAUAAUAAUAUGGCAAAAAUGUGACUGGUUAAUAUCAACUUAAAAAAAGAUACAGAACUACAUAAGCAGUCUGAUUUCUAAUUGGGAAAAUUCAGGAAAAAUACACAAAGUUAACAAAAAUAUACGGAUUCUCUCCAAGACUAUUAUUUAUAGAUUUUUGAUUUUUUUUUCUUUUGCUUCUAUAGAGCCACACCUGAGGCGUAUGGGUUUUUUGUUUUUGUUUUUGUUUUUUGUCUUUUUGCCUUUUCUAGGGCCACACCCGCAGCAUAUGGAGGUUCCCAGGCUAGGGGUCCAAUCGGCGCUGUAGCCACUAGCCUACACCAGAGCCACAGCAACUCGGGAUCCGAGCCACGUCUGUGAGCUACACCACAGCUCACAGCAACGCCGGAUCAUUAACCCACCGAGCAAGGUCAGGGAUCGAACCCACAACCUCAUGGUUCUUAGUCGGAUUCGUUAACCACUGUGCCAUGAUGGGAACUCCAACACCUGAGACAUAUGGAAGUUCCCAGGUAGGCUAGGAGUUGAAUCAGAGCUGUAGCUGCUGGCCUAUGCCACAGCCACAGCAACACUGGAUCCUUAACCCACUGAGUGAGGCCAGGGAUCAAACCCAUGUAUGUCCUCAUGGAUACUAGUCAGGUUCGUUACUGCUGAGCCAUGAUGGGAACUCCCUAGAUUUGUGAAUUUUUACAUCUCUAGUAAAACCCAGUAUUGCUUUGUAAUGUCAACAACAGCAAAAACAACAAACCAAAAAAUAAUUCUUAUUUUAAAGAAAUUUUGUGUGGAAAUAGCCAAAUAGUAAGAAGAGACCAAAAAUAUAUGUGUGUUCUGAGGGGGGGGGGGUAAAGACCAGAGGCAUCAAUUAACAGAGAGUUCGUAUACAUAUAAGUGUAAAAAUCAUACAGACCCGGGGAAACUUCAAAAUACUGUAGAUUCUCCCUCCGAGCAGGGUUUGUCAACAUCAGCACUAAUGACAUUUGGGGCAGAUAAUUAUUUGGUUGGUGGAUUCCCUGUCCAUUGUAAGAUGUUUGAUAAUGUUUCUGGUCUCUAUGCAAUAGAUGCUGGUAUAACCAACCCUAUCACCAAUUUGUAACAAUCACAAAAUGCCUCCGGAUGUUAUUAUUUUUCUCUUCUAGGGGCAAUGUCGACCCAGCUUGAGAACCACUGCCCUAAAUCUACAUUCUUCUAGACUGUGUCUUUUUAAUAGCAUACCAAAGAUAUUAUUAGAUUGCUUUUAAUAUUAAAAAUAGAGGAUCCAGAUAAAAAUCAUUGUGAGGAAAACUGUCAUAUACUCUCAACUCCUAAGUAGUUAUCUUUUAACAUUCUCAGGUAUUGGCACUGUCUCCUAAGACAGGGUUUCCACAUGCAGCAGCUGGAGCAGGAGAGCUCAGAAGUGCCUGAUCCAGAAAUAAUCCUCUUUCAGUGUCUAACAUGUGACAAUCAGGCAUAGUUUUAAACACUAUUUUUAUAUCUCUAGGUCCACCCCAUCACUAAUACAUGAGAAAUGUAACUGCCACAGCUCACAUAUCUGGGCAAGAGCAGCUUAUCUCUUGUGUUGAAAGUGCCUUGCAUAGAGGUAUGUAAACCAUGCAUCUUGGCCCUUAGCAUCUGUAAUAUUAAUGAUAAUAACAAAAUCCACAGUCCCAACAAGAUAACUCUCUUUGAUCUCCGGAAGUUCAUUACAGAAUAAAUGACUCUUUAUGAUGAAACAAGGUUUGAUAAUAAAAAAAGACCCACACCCUUUUGGUUUUACACAAACAUCAUUGCCACAUUUGCCACCUCUCUUUCACAUACCAGAAAGCACUGUUCGUUCCCUCAAGAAACUCACAAUAUAGUGGAAGAUAGAGAUAUGCCUCUAGACAAUUGCAAAACAUAGAAGCAAAUAAUGAUUAUUAAGGAAUUAACCAAAAUAAGAAACCACAUCUCAUAGUAAAGUAUGCUUGGGAGGCUGGAAAUCUCUAUUUCAGCUAUGGAACAAGAGUAUGGCUUUAAAGCCACUCUGUCUGAUAUCUACAACGUUAACAGUGGUAAAUAAUAUUCAUUCAGUAUCUUCAUCAUAGGUUCAGAUAUUGUCCCAGUUAUAUUUUUAAAUAAGGCUAUUGGAGAAUAGGAGUUUGUUUCAAGCCCUUUGAGCUAGGAAAACUUGUCAUCAUACAGGAAUCCCUCAGGUAGCUGACAUCCUCAGAUUGAAGGGAUGCUACCCAUAUCAAAUUUCAAUAAAACCUGACCUUUCAGGGAGACACUUUUAAGGCAAGUGUCAUACAAUAUUUCAUACUUAAACAAAAAAGCAAGGAAAAUAAUAAAAUCAAGCAACUGAAGAGAUAAAGUACCACAAAUACCUUUGAAACUCUUCUAUUUCAACCUGAAUGAACAGAUUUCUCUUCUUUGUCUCAGAGUAACCACCAUCCUUCUUGUGCUGUAUUCCCGAGUAAGCUGUGGUAUUAUUCUGCAUGUUUUUACCUUUAUAUAAAGGUAUGACAUUGCACAGAUCCUUAUGCAACCAGCUUAUUGGUUCAUUGUUUUUGAACUCUAUUCUUGUUAGUCCAUUUUAACUGUUACGUGGUAUUCUAGUGUAGAAAUAUUCUAAACAUAUUUGUCCAUUUUUUCUUUAUAAUCAUUUAUGUUUCCAUGAUUUUUUUUUUUUACUUUUACACAGAAUGAAGUAUUUCAAACAGCAUGUAACAGAGGGAAAUUAUUAGAUCACAGAGUUUGAAGAGCUUCAGCUUUACUAAUUAUUGCUAAAUGCUUUACAAAAUGGUUUUUUAUUUCAUACUCUUACCAGCAAAUAUGAGUACUUUUUGUUUUAGGUUUUAGUUAGCUCCUGAGAAUGACAGUUAUUUAGUUUCUGCCAGUUUUCUGAAAAUGACACAAAUCAUUUAAAAAUUUACAUUUCCCUUGGAGUUCCCAUCGUGGCUCAAUUAAUGAAUCCAACUAGGAAUCAUGGGGUUGUGGGUUCAAUCCCUGGCCUUGCUCAGUGGGUUAAAGAUCUGGCAUUACUGUGAGCUGUGGUGUAGGUCGCAGAAGCAGCUCAGAUCCUGCAUUGCUAUGGCUGUGGCAUAAGCCGGCGGCAGCAGCUCCAAUUAGACCCCUAGCCUGGGAGCCUCCAUAUGCCGCGGGAACGGCCCUAGAAAAGCCAAAA
rnacentral:lncRNA from 1 species